CCGCGCCACGGCCGCAGGCUGCCCAAUGGUUACUACGCGGGGCACGGCGCGCCACGGCCGCGCACAGCCCGCAGGGGCGCGCACGACGCGUACAGCGAGAGCGAGGACGACUGGUGCUAAGCCGCCCCGCCCCCCGCAGCGCCCGUACGGUGCGGGCGCACCGCAAAUGAUAAACAAUAACGUUUUUAAAAAAGAAAACCGGGGAGAAAAACAAAAAUAGCUUCUAUUGAUGAGUUUUAUCAUCUCGAUUGAAUCUUUCGUUUUCCCGGUGAACGAAACCGAGGUGGCUGCGAGCCGGAGGGACGGCUGCACGCCCCACACACUUCUCAGACCCACGGGAGUUCUUGCGGGCCACGCCAAACUUAUUACUGCCUGCAGAGUUCAACUACAAGAAAAUAACACUAACAGUUUUUAAAAGGACAAAAAAAAAAUGAUUGAGAAAACGGUUUUUUUUUCCCCUGACAUUUGGUCCUGCUUGAAAUAACAAAAGAAAAAAGAGAAAAAAUUACCACCACCACCGACCGAUUCCCUUGCUUCUUUUUUUUUUUUUUCCUUUAUCUUUUUAAAAUUUUUUUCCUUUUUUUCCUAUCUUGUUUGAAAAACGUGGGCUUGGGACUGUGAAAUAUUGCAUGACAUUAAAAAGAACAAAAAAUAAUAAAAAUGAAAAAACUUGAAUCUAAGGGCUUCUGAACUAGAGUGGUCUUUGUCCCUUGACCAAGAUGCCUUGCAAGUUACUUUUGGGAAAUGGAUGAAAGAGGGAAGGCAGUUUGUUAGCUCCCAGAGAAAUGGCGCAGGUGUGAAGCAGAGCCCACGGCCCUGGGUUCACUCCCAGUGAAGGACACUUGUGACUCCUUGAUACUUCCACAGGGCAGAGGCUCUUCUGGCUGUGCCCAGCUUCUGGCCCGUUGAACCAAUUUUAUGAGCAGUUCAACCCACCUCAGCCCU
rnacentral:lncRNA from 1 species